rnacentral:tRNA from 1 species
GCCUGGGUGGCUCAGUGGGUUGAGCGUCCGACUUUGGCUCAGAUCAUGAUCUCGCGGUCUAUGGGUUCAAACCCCACGUUGGGCU